AGCAGCCGCGGUAAUUCCAGCUCCAAUAGCGUAUAUUAAAGUUGUUGCAGUUAAAAAGCUCGUAGUUGAAUUUCGGGAUCAAUUUAUUGGUCGUGCUACUGUACGUACUGGUAUUAUUGAUUCCUACCUUCUGACGAACCAUGAUGUCAUUAAUUUGGUGUCAUGGGGAAUCAGGACUGUUACUUUGAAAAAUUAGAGUGUUUAAAGCAGGCUCACGCUUGAAUACAUUAGCAUGGAAUAACGAAAUAGGACGUUUGAUUCUAUUUUGUUGGUUUCUAGGAUCGACGUAAUGAUUAAUAGGGAUAGUUGGGGGCAUUAGUAUUCAAUUGCCAGAGGUGAAAUUCUUGGAUUUAUUGAAGACUAACUACUGCGAAAGCAUUUGCCAAGGAUGUUUUCAUUAAUCAAGAACGAAAGUUAGGGGAUCGAAGACGAUUAGAUACCGUGUAGUCUUAACCAUAAAC
rnacentral:rRNA from 1 species